rnacentral:piRNA from 1 species
UCACCAAAUAUUUAUUUGCCUGGGGUGU